rnacentral:rRNA from 1 species
UAAGGAAUAUUGGACAAUGGGCGGAAGCCUGAUCCAGCCAUGCCGCGUGAAGGAAGAAGGCGCUCAGCGUUGUAAACUUCUUUUGGACGGGAACAAAGGCAUCUCUGCGGAGGUGUUUGAGGGUACUGUCAGAAUAAGCACCGGCUAACUCCGUGCCAGCAGCCGCGGUAAUACGGAGGGUGCAAGCGUUAUCCGGAAUCACUGGGUUUAAAGGGUGCGUAGGCGGUUUGUUAAGUCAGUUGUGAAAUUC